rnacentral:tRNA from 1 species
GGGUCGCUAGCUCAAUUGGCAGAGCAACGGACUCUUAAUCCGCAGGUUCCGGGUUCAAGUCCCGGGCGACCCACCA